ACCACAGAGAAAGAAGCAAACAAACUGGUGCCCUUAACCCUUUCUUUGGCGGCUCCUUUGGUCCCCAACCCCCCAAUUUCUUCCAGAUGGGGGUUCCCACUGGGACCCAGAGAGGGGAAUACUCUGGCCCAGGGCCGCGCAGCAGGCGUGCAGAGCCCUCUGCCUCCCAGGCAGGUCUGGAAACGGGGAGCAUCUGUGAAAUGGGCCCAGCGGCAGGCGAGACAGCUCAGCUGCACAGUCACCUGCUUGGCCACGCGUAUACGCCCCAGGUUCCAGUCCGGGCCCCCACCGCACGAUGGCAUGCUCCAGGGCUGUGUUAUCUCCUCCUCCCCUCCCGCCCCUCCAGCUCAUGUCUGAAAAAAGUCCUCCUGGAGCUGUGAA